UUUUGGAGGGUUGGGAUUGGUGCUCAAGGAGCCCACAUGUUCAUGUGUUAAAAGGAGAUGAAAACGCCUUGACAUAAGGGCUAUUAAUUAAUUGAUGUGAUGUCACUAUUAAUAUAAAAUAUCAAUUCAUGGUUUUUUUUAGGAACCACUAUAACUAGCUAUAUUUAUUCACUCCAUGUGGAUCCACAAAGUACUUUUAUGAGCUUUAUUUUUA
rnacentral:lncRNA from 1 species